AUUCACACCGAAACUUGCUUAGCCUAGUGGUAUCUCCUUUAAGCUAUUUCUAAGAGCUCCAAGGUUCUAUCCCUCAUAGAGGCAUCUUCAAGGGUAACAAUGUGUUCUCUCGUUGCCAAAUGUCCGCUCUUGUUUAUCGUUCAAUCCUUCUUCACACGCCUAAAAGCCUGUCCUUGCACAUCUGGGGAUUCACAUAUACGCACCCAUGUAUACCUUCAUCCCCCAGUGAUACGUGUCUCUUUUAUCUUUUAUACGAGGGUAGGGUCAUAGGUUAGUAUGUACCUGUUCCUUAGGGGUUUUUUAUUCUCAUGGCGCGUUAGGCGCAUAUACAUGGUCCUUUUCUUACACUCUUUAUAUUCAUGUUGUAGAUAUUUAAUUUUAAUUUGUAAAUUAAAUAUCAUUAAAUUAAUUAAUCUUAACUAAAAUAUGAAUUA